CGAGUCCCCAGUCAAUGUUGGGUAUUUUUCCUCCCUCCAAAACAUUCUAAAACCUUUAACAAGACAAACAGAGUCAAGAAACACCAGUGAGACCAGGAAAGGUCCCCAAAUCAUCCGCCGCGGAGUGCGGCCCAGGGCUGUACACCAAGGCCUACACUAAAGUCCUGGGCCUGCUUUUCCGUCUUUUUAUUAGAGACGCCCUCAUCACAUAAAC